UGGGCAUGUCUUUCAUAUCCAAAAGCAUUGUUUGCUCAAGGUUUUCACAACCUAAGAGAACUUAUUUCCUUUUAGUUUUCUUGGGAGUCUUUUGUCCUUCUACCUCUAUAUUGUCAAAAUGCAAAGGAUUUUGUUUCAGUUGCGUUGUACAUGUGUAUAUUGGCGUUUCCUUAUUGUUGUAUUGCUUGCUGAAUUGGUGCCUUUUCAUGUGCAGUUGAUUCACAAUUUUGAUUCUUCUUCUUCCUCCAUUUUAUUUGGGCGACGAAUAGCAAACAUGACAGUAUCUGUGCAAUCGACAAUAAUCAAAUAACAGUGUAAUAUGCAUAUAGGGAUACUAAAAUGGGAGCCUCAUAGGAUUCUGGCAGGGAGCAGAAUUUGAUUCGUGCUAGGACAAACAGCUGCAACGCCAUACAACGCCCCGCCUCCCUGUUUUAGCAACCUUUCACUAGCACUUGGUUGGCGGGACAUGAACUAGUUUGUGAAUUUAAUAUAACGGUUUGUUUAAGUCUUAAUGCUUCUUGUUUCAUUUCUGCCAUACUAUAGGAACUUCUGUAAUAUCUAACUUAGCACAGAAAACGUUUUGCUUCUUGUUUUCUCUUUCGACGAAGCCUGCGUAAUGCAACCGUGUAAACAAUUGCUGCAACUCCAGUUUCUAUACAUGAGACUGAUGAGCGUAAAUCGAAUAA